CCUUACCUUCACACACAUAAACACAUAAGUGUAAUGUAACCGUUGUGCAAGAGGUUGCUAAAUCACACGGACAAAAGAAGAGACACAUUUUUUCUGGAUAACCUGCCGCUGAAACUACGUGGAUGGGAAGUGCAGCAAGUCGGACAUUGAAAUUCAUUCAUACAUGUACUCCAUUAGUUGCUCCACCAUAUGAGCCUCACUCAAGUUCUCGACUUUCAAAUCUUGAUCACGGGAGUUUCCUUCUCGGAAAAGAUGCUGAUACAAACCAUUUUUUACGAACACAAGAUUGAUGGUGCUCUCCUUCCUGCAUAUACAUACAGUCGAACUCCAAUUCAGGGCAUCGAACGGAAAUGCAGAAAACAUCUAACAAAUGCAAGAUUCACCGAUCGCGACGCACAAGUAUUCCUGUCUAACGAUUCUCAUCUGUUUUCAACCCUGAGACAAUCCAACCUAGUAAAGUGUGCAACUAGAGUGGAAAGACGCAUCGAAAUUAAAGAUAUCGCGAGCAAAAUCUACUUCACAUGUGCGCCCUGCGUUUUUCUGAUUAAAUUGGAGCAGCUAAAACACUACUCGAUAUUUUCAAAACCUUAAGGAAAAGGGUGUGGGAUUUUGCGUCUUAAUAAUUGGUGAUAAACCUUGUUCAGAUGAUAUGCAACCUCUUCAUGAUCUGCUCGUCACAAAUGCGUGAAAUAAUGAUAUUCAAGACGCUGAUGAUGACCUUCUUGAAAGGUUUGCAUUUUCGGUGUUAAAGAAAUUGUUGGACCACAUUGCGGCAGAUGGUAAUAUUGGCUUGGCCGAAAGAAAAAAAGGUAUGCAUUUUGCCUUUUUAAAAAUUUGAUUCGGCAUUGAAACAUGAAUACACGUCUUUAAAAGUAUGGCAGUUAUUUAUUUAAAUCACAUAAUGUAGGUGUUUCGAUAAGACGUUGCAAAAAAUAUGUCAACAUGUACGAGGAGCUUACAACAACAGCGGGGUACCAGGCGAUGAGCGACCAUUAAUUCCCGAAGACAAUUUCAACUACCCGUCAAACACCAAUGAUGUUCGUAUACACAGCAAUUGUCAAAAAGAUGCCCUACCUUUUUUGCAGAACAAAUGAUAUGUAAAACAUCCUUAUUAAGCGAUCACCGGGUUUAUAUCUUGUUGUUGUUGUUCACAUACACAAAACAGAUUUUCGUGAUAACCAUCAUGUGAAUAUCAGUGUAACAGAUGAACAUCUAUUGUUCAAUACAUUAUUUAAAAAUUUCGAGUCAAACUGUGAAAACGCUUUCUUUGUCUAUUACGGAAGUCAAGCGAAAUGCCUUGCUCGAUUUCUUUUCUAUUAGUAACAGAUGUUUCUUCCCGAAGUUAGCUUAAAAGUGCGGUUACUCUAAAUGAUUUUGCUUAAAAUCACAAGCUAAAAAGCUAAAAUAAGUAUGUUAUAUAAUAUUAUCGAAUAAAUAAAUUUCUUUGUAGAUUAUUGCACAAGUUCUUCAAGUGCAAGGUGUAGUUGCCUGUUUCAAGAACAACGGACGUCUCAAGAUCUAUAUUGAUAAAACAACUGUUGAAUCUGAGAGCGAAUGUUCACAUGCCGUUAUCAAUAUCCCUGCUACUACUAGAUUCGACAAAUACUCGGUAUUUGUUGGAACUUUGGAGCGAUAUUACAAAGCUGGCGAUCCCAUUUCGAACACUCAUAUUGAAGCUACGUUAGGAGGGUUUGCUGAUAAGUGUAAAGGAUUAUCGCUAUUUACUAAAGAGCCCACACUGGUAGCUCUAAUAUCUCGACAUGUCGCUACAAAUAUAAACUCUGGAGAUCUCAAAGUGUCCGACAAGAUCCUAGGACACAUUAAACAUGUACACGAUUGUCAUUGGCUCGAUAUCGUUCCAGUGGAUGUUUAGCAGGAAGUAAGAAACGAUUGCGAAACACGUGUUCGAACAGAACAUAAUAUAUUGAAACAUGCUCAACUAAAUGGGCUUAAUUUAACAAAUCGUUCGCCAGUUCAAUCGUUCGCCAGUUCACAUUUGGGGAGCAAAAUCGUCACCUGGUUUGGGAUUUCUAGAAACAGACAAUGGAACGUUGACAACUGAACAAAUAAUAUACAGCAGAGAA